UUUUUAUUCAGUUUUCCUUUUGAUUUAUCCUUUUCUCAAAAAUCAAAUUUUUUUCUUAAAAAAAAGCUCCACGAUCUCCUCUUGGCAAACCACGAUCCCCAAAUUAACUUCCUACUCUCAUCAAUUUCACCAUGUAUAUCUCACAAUCGAUUAUCACAAUUGUUCUCCCAUUCGUCUUCUUCAAAUCAACAUCCCUUCUUUAAAAAAAUCGUUGCUACUUUUACGGAAUCGCCUUCACUAAUCUAUAGCCAAACCUGAUUCGUCAACACCAACCGUUUAAUCCACACAGUUUGUUUAAUUUACACAGUUCGUUCAAACCAACCUCUCACCACGCUGGUCGUCUUUUUUUUCUUCCUCAAAGUUGCAGGUACUACUAUCACUGUUUGCAACAUGAAACUUGAUUUUACACCGAUUGCUUAACUAGAGUCUGUUACUGAGAAUUAAAGUCCGACUUGGUAAAGUGGAGUGAUGGUUUGUGUAUCAAUGAACACUGACAAUUUUACACGUUGGUAUGUGUUAUCACCAUCAAUGUAUAUUUGUCAAAGUUACACACCUUAUUAUAUUCUUAUGAAUUUUUCAUAUUUUUAAUACAGAUAUAAUUGGUAAAUCGUUGGCCAAAACAUACAUUCCUACGUUCAAUCCUUUUCUGGUGGACCUAUUGUUAAUGCUUUGUAAUCUCAUGAGGAUUCAUGUUUCUAAUGGAAAAUCAUAAUCCAAAGUGCAAAAUUGUCAACAAAGGCUCUUCAUUAAUCCUGCAUUGCUGAUAUAUAUAAACGAUUCAAAGAAAGGUAACCACAAUCGUUUGCAUUUUGUUUGUGUUACAUUUCUUUUAAUUUAUGUGUUAUGUCUUUUUCAAUAUAUAAUAGGAUGCCUAAAACGAAAUGGCUACAAGUUCGUUCUACAAUGUUACAUUUCUUUUAGUUUAUGAAUUUUGUUUUCUUUAUGCGUUCACAUAAAUGAUAUAAGGUGUUUGUAAUGUUUUCUCCCUCUAUCUAUUUUUUGUCUUAUUUUCUAUAUUUUUAAUCAAUUCAAGU